rnacentral:rRNA from 1 species
UACGUAGGGCGCAAGCGUUGUCCGGAAUUAUUGGGCGUAAAGAGCUCGUAGGCGGUUUGUCGCGUCUGUCGUGAAAGCUUGGGGCUUAACCCCAAGUCUGCGGUGGAUACGGGCAGACUAGAGGCAGGUAGGGGAGAACGGAAUUCCCGGUGUAGCGGUGAAAUGCGCAGAUAUCGGGAGGAACACCGGUGGCGAAGGCGGCCUGCUGGGCUGUUGCUGACGCUGAGGCGCGACAGCGUGGGGAGCAAACAGG